AUGGACCCGCGCUUCCAGCUGGCAACUCCGGUGCCGUCCUCCGGCGGCGCUGGUGUGCGAGGGCACCACCGGCGGGCCCAUUCGGAGACGUUUCUGCGCUUCCCCGACACCGACCUCUUCCUCGACCCCGAUGGAGACUUCUCCUUCUCCGACCUCGACUUCCCAUCCCUCUCCGACGACUCCCCGGCGGUCUCCGACCCGACCCCGCCUCCUCCCCCGCCGAUGGCGGCCAGCUCGUCCCAGACACCGGCUCCCCGUCCACCGGGCGGGACCCACAACAGGAGCCUCUCCCUUGACGCCGCCUUCUUCGAGGGCCUCGCCUUGCAGGGGGGAGGAGGCGGGGGUGGUGGUGGCCAUAAGAGGAGCGGGUCCAUGGAUGGGGUGAACUCGCCGUUCGAAGGCGAGUCGGCGCUGUCGGGCGGGCUGGACUACGCCAAGAAGGCCAUGCCGGCCGAGAGGAUCGCCGAGCUAGCUCUCCUUGACCCCAAACGCGCAAAGAGGAUUUUGGCAAACCGGCAGUCGGCGGCGAGGUCGAAGGAGAGGAAGAUCAAGUAUACCGGUGAGCUAGAGAGAAAGGUCCAGACACUGCAGACCGAGGCCACUACGCUAUCAGCACAGCUUACACUUCUCCAGAGGGAUACUUCUGGUUUAACUACUGAGAAUAGAGAACUCAAACUUCGGUUGCAGUCCAUGGAGGAGCAAGCUAAACUACGGGAUGCUCUAAACGACGCUCUGCGAGAAGAAGUCCAGCGACUUAAGAUAGCUGCAGGGCAAGCUCCAAACAUGAAUGGGAGUCAAUUCAACGGCGGACUCCAGCAGAUUCCAUCCUAUUUCUCUCAGUAA
rnacentral:rRNA from 1 species